AUGGCGGCCGUGACGGUGCGCGAGGUGCUGUACAUGUACAGCGCCGUCCGGAAGGCGUACGAGCGGCUCCUAUCCGUGUGCGGCAGCCCGGAGAAGGCCCAGAACGCGGUGGCGCUGCUGGUGUGGCUGGACCAGGGCACCAUCUCCGCCAUCCACUUCGUCCCAGCCAUCGGCCACGACGCCGUCGCCGUCGUGGUUGAAGAGGCCAACGCCAUCCUCAAGUGCUUCCGCCACCAGGUGCCCGUGCUCCCGCCCAUCCCGCUCAUCUCUGCGCUCUGCAUGCAAGGCGGCGUCCGCAUCGACCCGUGCUUCUUCGCCUUCCACCAGGACCUCGUCGUCCGCGGCGUCGCCCACUUCCUCGACGGUGCCGGCAAGUUCGUUUUCGAUGACCGCCUGCACGUCCUACUCGGUAAGUCCGAGACUGGGCUGGUGGGCAACCCGCCGGAGCUCAUGGCACCCUACACCCAGCCUGUGGCCGUGCCGGAGGACUGCCGUUCCAUGUUCAUCACCUUCUCCAAGGGCAUGCCCCCGCACCGUGAGGAGAUCUUUGAGUACUUUAGAGAGAAGUGGGGUGACUGCGUGGUGAGGGUGCUCAUGGAGAAGACAAAGGGAGGCCUCAUGCCCAUGUACGGCCGGAUCAUCUUCAAGACGGAGGCGAUAGUGAAGCUGGUGCUCAAUGGUGAGAGGCUCGUCAAGAUCUCCAUCGGGCAUCGUCAGAUCUGGCUCCGCAAGUAUGUCCCCAGACCAACCAAGGCCACUGCCUGA
rnacentral:rRNA from 1 species